CCUACGGGAGGCAGCAGUGGGGAAUAUUGCACAAUGGGGGAAACCCUGAUGCAGCGACGCCGCGUGAGUGAAGAAGUAUUUCGGUAUGUAAAGCUCUAUCAGCAGGGAAGAAAAUGACGGUACCUGAAUUAGAAGCCCCGGCUAACUACGUGCCAGCAGCCGCGGUAAGACGUAGGGGGCAAGCGUUAUCCGGAUUUACUGGGUGUACAGGGAGCGUAGGUGGCUGGACAAGUUAGGAGUGAAAUGCCGGGGCUUAACCCCGGAACUGCAUUUGAAACUGUGGAUCUUGAGUACAGGAGAGGUAAGCGGAAUUCGUAGUGUAGCGGUGAAAUGCUUAGAUAUCACGAGGAACACCAGUGGCGAAGGCAGCUUACUGGACUGUAACUGACGUUGAGGCUCGAAAGCGUGGGGAGCAAACAGGAUUAGAUACCCGAGUAGUC
rnacentral:rRNA from 1 species